ensembl:lncRNA
AUAAAAAUGGCAUUUUCUUGCAAAUAAUAAUCCGGCAGGCCGCACUGGACCCCCCGGUGGGCCAUGGAUCCGGCCCCUGGUUUACACAAACAACCAAUUGUGAGCCACACCGGUGUUGGGCCCACCUUGUUCUUGCCACCCUUUUGGUGUUUUGUCUCCAUCCAUGAGACCUCUCGGGAAACUUAACAAUAAUAUCAUAUAUCAAGAGCGAGAUGUAUUUACACCCUAGGAAGCAGCCAACUCUGUAAUAUGGCCUAGAGUCAUGGCAUCUACUCUGCCUGCAGGAAAGUGUGGCGUCGGUAAUCAUAGACAACACACUUCUAAGCUAAUGAUUCACUGGAGCUGCUGCCAUUACACACCCACCUUCAACUUUAAUAGAUGUUAAGGGCUGGGGGCUCCUCCAAAUAUAAACCCAUGUGGAUGGAGGAAAAAGAAAGUGGAUGACUCAUCAGAUGAUUUUCCAUUGCCCAGGGCUCCAGGUCUUGAGCUCCUCCAACUGCUUAUGCUUCUGUGCAAUGGCAUCAGAUACAUCUCUUUUUCUGCAAGAGAGAUCGUUUUAUUUAAUACUUUUCUUCUUAUCCACAAAUCCCAUAAAAAGACCCAAACCAACAGCAAAUUAAUCCGACUAACAAGAAUGUUUGUGUAAACACAGCUCUUGUUCAUCUGUGUCCAAAAAGGUAAAGCUAUCGAUGGUCAACAUUUUUCCAUUAACAUCCAGCUAUGUGAGAAAAGAGAAAGGUUGUAUUCAGCAGGCGCUUCUGUAAAUGUAUUAAAAGAAAUUAUCUGAUUAAUCGCACAUUUUGAAAUGCAUUAAUCGAGAUUAAUCACAAUUAAAGUUUGUUUUUCUUCCAAAGACUGAAUCGUAUUAAUUAACGAGUUAUCACUUUGCAAAGCAUGUAUUUUAGACACCGUUGUUUAUUGUAUUUUGUAUUUUUAACACAAAACUACACACAGGUGAUCACUUUGAAGGCAGAAUUCCACCGAGUGGAACAUGUUGAACUAGUGGCUCUUCCUGCUGUCCUCGUGCACUUUGCUCUCAACUCUCCAUCAUUUAACGGCCGUGCCAAACACAGCCAACAAUCUCCCCACAUUUAGCCAGGACUCAGUCUUUUAGGACAGUGAUGGUCCUCUGCAGACUGUGAGACGACGCGUGUUUGCUUUUUUUUCAUUUCUUCUCUUUGGUUGUCGACUUAAAAGUCUCUGGAAUUUCCUGUGACAUGCUGCCAGUUUUGUAAAAAAUCUUGUAGCUCUGAGAACCUGCUUUUUGCCCAUUUGUCCUAUUUGGUUGACUGUUUAUUGCCGCGGAUUGCCUCCCUCUCUCCUCUACCCUCAUCAUGCACUCUCGCCCCCUCUUCUCCUCUGCGUCUGCCAGCCAGACGCUCUCAAUAUAGCUCUGCUCAUAAACACAGAGCGAGACAGAGAGAAGGAGGCAGCGAGAGAGUGAGAGAAAGGCUCCUGUGACAGUAAUAAAAAUGAGUGAGGGACAGGGGAGAGAUGGAGAUUGGGGUGAAUGAGUGGGUGGAGAGAAGGAGGGAGGAGAGGACACACAUGUAGAGCAGACCUACAGAGCGAGAGAGAGAGAAUCAAGCAAAGCAGGGAGAUACUGCAACAAGCAAGACAGUGAGGGAGAGAGAAGAAAUAUGAGAGGAGCAAAAGAAAAAUGACGUAGGCAGGAGAGAGGAGGUCAAGAAAAUGAGAGAUGGAGACCAGAAAACGCACUAGUGUGAAGUGACGGACAGGUGGAAGGAGGAGAGGGUUGGGGUCAGAUCUACGGUGGCCCUGAAGUGCAAAACACAACGGCAAAUAGGAACGCACAACGAAAUGAACUCCUUACGGAAAGGGUAGGUCCUUAUAGCAGAGGACGGACCCUUCUGAUUGGACAGACGGACUGUCUGUCUUUUAACAGGAAAUUAUACAGGGCCCUCAAGUGUCAGGCAUUGAGCGAGACAGCCACGCACUCCCACCACACAUCCAAUUCCUCACGCCAAGGAAUCGUACUCCGGUCCCCGAGCCGUGUCGGCCAUAGGCCCCUAGGCCCUGCCGGCCGUAGCGUCCGCGGUACCCCCCCGGAACGUCCCCCUUUUAUUUACAACACCUAAAUAUAAUUGAACAACAAAACACCGGUAAAACAAUGGUGAAACACCUGUAGGACACUUUUAAGACACUCGUAAAACAUCGCCAUCCCUCCGUGACUUCCACCCUCAUCACAGGCUCUCAGUCCCGCCUCUCAUUUAUUGAUUGACAGAAUAUCUAGAAAGCGGCAUUUCUCAGCUUUCAGAAUCCGAUUGUGCAAAUAGUUAAAGGAGUCACGGUCAUUUGAAUCCUCCAUGUCACUUUCCGUUGCCGGCAAAAGGCUUCGGAUUAAGAGGGUUAAAAGACAGACAGUCCGUCUGUCCAAUCAGAAGGGUCCGUCCUCUGCUAUCUGCUAUAAGGCCCUACCCUUUCCGUAAGAAGUUAAUGUCGUUGUGUUUUCCUAUUUGCCGUUGUGUUUUGCACUUCAGGGCCACCGUACAGAUCGCUUGGAAAAAGAAAAGCAGUGAUUGAAAGGAGAGCAAGACACAACAUAUCAGGGUUUCUCUUUGAAGGCCGGAGUUGGCUAUUUUAACCACUUAAAUAACGAAGCUCAUGGCUGCAGGGACCACACACACACCAACAAACAUGCACACGUUUGCCUUUGCAGAGCCCAAUAAGAAAAGUGUCGGUGCAAAAAUCACACAAACUUGAAAUGCUUUCGUAAUAAACAAUCUUAGCACAGGAGUUUCCGGUCUGUAGAGCGGCAGCAGAUAAUCGCAAUGCGGCUUUACACGUCCUCCUACGACAGAUGGAAGUUGGUAACUGUUGGACUUAACUUGGUCAGGUGGCCAGAGAGAUGAAUUGUAAUUUUAAACCCAAAUUUUCGAGUACUUUCUCUGGGUGUGUAUAAGAAGCAUGCACGUCCCGGUUUUUGAUGAAUGAUGAAGCAGGUGUUUUGACCGUUGUGUUGAUUGCAAGAAAACUAGUUUGUAGAAGUUGUUAGCUUGUUGUUAGACGGCCACCUCUGGUGAUGGUGGUAAUUCUGGCCGGAGCAAAGGUGGAUGUUACGUGUAGAAGAAGAAAACCGCCACCUGCUACGGCUGGAAAUUCAGUUUGAUGAGAAAGCGUGCCAAAAUGCUAAUGUAACACUAAAACACUGAGCUUGAGGUUGCUUAAACACUGAGGAGCUGAGGGCAAUGGGGAGAGAUCGCUGAUGAUUAAUUUGACCUUACAGGCAGUAGAUUGAUUCAUUGCUAAGAGAAGCUAUAAACAGUAAACCCUUAUUUUGAAGGACAAGAUUCAGUAUCUAAGGCAAACUUCCCUCAUCCCUCUGUACUCUUUAUCCGCUACAACAAAUCAAAAUGUUGCUUCAAAUAAUGCAAUUAAUUUCUCAUUUUGACAUAAUAUUGAAACUGCCACACUGACUCAUAACAACCCUGUCACCCCGUAGUAGAAAGAAGCAAAGAAGAACAAAAAGACAGGGCUGGAUCUAGAAAGUGAGUAGUGGGAACAGGUGAGCAAUUGUGCAGGUGUGAAUAAUGUCGGCCAGAUUGAUAAUCACAAAGGUUGGGAAAACAAAAACAGCACGAAGUUAAAGAAGACAAGACCCGCAAGGAGUCUUCAAAAUGAAAGCAGGAAACACUACACCUGGAGGAAAAACAUGAAACAAGAAAAAAACCAACAAAGGACACAAAAUUCUCUAUUAACAGAAAGGUGGAGCACAGUCCAGUCUCAUCAUAGAAAGUCAGAGGACGAUAACAGGUCCCUGCAAAAUAUGUCAUGUGUGUUGUGUGGCUUUAUUUAGCCGGUCGCUCCUAACCUCCCAUUUACCUUGAGCACAUGUAAGACAGGAAGGUGUGAAUGGCUGGGAGAGUCGGAGAAAGAUGGAGGGAGUGAGUGAGAAAACACAACGUUGUAAUUACCGGCUACAUGCUGGUUCGGCAAUCAUAGCCUCUCCUCCUCGCUUGAGUUUCCUCCCUUACUCUUCCCUCCGUCAUUCUCGUCUCCUGCAGACCUCCACCGCUCUUUCUCUCUCAGGGGGUCCGAGCAAUCAGGGCAGAUAUACACUUCAGUUAUCAGGCUUCUACCUACACAUUUGCACAGAAAAUUGCAUACUGUGAUGGCGGCAGAGCUGAGAAUAAUUACAGCCAUCACUGUCCCCGUCUCUUGGGACAACUGUCUGUCCUAUGUGGGCAACCAUAGGUAUAAAGUAUAUAGUUAUUCCUAUGCUGAUGGUUUGUAAGGCAUUGACAUUGUGUUUGGGUUGGAGGUGGAAAGGCAUUAUACAAUAGUGUCUGGAAGGGCUGCAAAGGACAUGCUGUAAAAUGCUUAUUCAUUAGUACACGUGGUACAAUAUCCAUAAAACGUGUAUGCUGUUUGUUUACCAUUGAUUUUAAGAGAGAUUUAGCUUCUAAAAAGAAUUGCUUUCCUGGCCUGUAAAGGACUUUGGUUAUCUGAAAAGUGAAGCGCAACCCCUUCGGUCCAUUGUGUCCCUGAUGAAUGGGUGUGAUUGUGAUUCAGAGUUAGUCCUAAUGGGCAGACAGCAGCCAGCAUAUCGCCCUUGAAAUCUGACUGUGUGUGAUUGGUGGAAUAAAAAGCAUUUUCAGUGGAUGAAAGACGAGAAAGGCGCUUUACAAACACAGUGCAUUUACAAUUUAACAUUCAACUUUUCAAUAUGUUUUAAUAAAGAAAAGAAUAGAUCAUAUUUUACUACUAUAUGCUUUAAACUAUGCAAACAUUUGAUGUUGCAAUAAUGGUGUUCCACUAGGUUCUAUCCUGGUAACUGUCAGGGAUUGCGGGGGGUAGGACUCAGACGCAGAGUUCAAAACAAAAGGGACUUUAAUUGUCAAAAAAGGUUAAAGCAAAAGGCCAAGGGGCAAAAACACACAGGAACCGGGGGAAAAACGGGAGACAGAAACUACAACCGUCCACGACGAAAGACAAGGACAAGCGUGGCAAAAGACAAUGACGCGACAAGUGACAACAGACACACGGCUUAAAUACACUAGGGAGGUGCAGGUGAUUGGACACAGGUGGAAACAAUCUGACAAUCACAGGGGAUGACAGGACCAGGCAGGAAGUGAAGUUACACGGGGACACGAGUGGCAGAAAACUACAAAAUAAGACAGGAAGUGCACCACACAGUGACAGCUGGAUUUACAUCUGCUCUCUUUUUUGAGUCAGCAUGUUUUUCUUUAGCCAAAAUUAGCAUCCCAAUUAUAAUCAAAGUUAUUGUGAUUUACAGAUGCGCCGUCCUGACCAAGCAAUUAACCACAAUCAUUAGCUCGUAACUGUAAGCUUACAGCACCUGGCUUCAUCCCUCCACACCUUCUUUCACACAUUUGGUCAGUUCUGGCUUUAAAAAGACAAAUGUAAAAAAAAAAGCCAGCGACAGCAACAAUGUCAAACGCAAGGCUUAAAAACAAUAUCCAUAAACCGACGUGCCACGUUUCUGUAACCGUGUCCAUUUCUUCUGAACAUUCUACGCAACUUCAACGGCAAUCGUUCCUUUGACAGCAUUGCUUGCGUUAUUAGGGAGAAACAGCAACAACCACCACUGUCGAUCAGAUACCUAAUAAUCGUGAUAAUGAUUUUGACUUAAUUUAUACCACAAUUUUUGAUCCAAAGGUUCCAAAGUGUUUAGAAGACAAGGAGCAGAUAAACAGAGUGUUACAUUGAUCGAUGUUCAGUUGUUCAGUUUGAGCACCAUCGACUCGCCUCUGCACAUGUCGGAUUGAAUGCACUCUCGUGGUUCUCUAAGACAUAAUUGUGUCAAAUUUGUUGAAUUAUAAUGUAGAGUUGCCAGAUACAAUAUACGUGGUGGUAGAUGAAGGUUCCACUGUGAAAUCGAAUGUGUUUGUGUGGGAUGCCACCUCCAGCACUAACGUCAUUUAACAAAAAGUUCAGUAGUUAGAACUGAACUUUGUCUGCCUACAAGUGGGUGGUAGCAGAAUUCUCUGGUUUUUAGUACCGUUCAAGUUAAAAGUAAAGUUUAACAAGGAUUGUCAUUCUUAGAGUGGGCGGUAUGUGUGUGUGUCUACACGUGAAACUUAAGUUAACUUAAAAUUAAGUGAAGAUCAACUCUGGGGGAGAUAUUUCAUCAAAAGUCUUAUUUUCUGUCUUUCUCCCAGUGUUCCCUCAUAGGUCUGAGGUCACCAUCUAACUACAGUUCAAUGUCUAUAUACUCUACAUUAAUAAAUACUUAAAGAAUAACGUUAUAGAGGUGUAUAACUACAUUUAACUGUGAAUUGUAUGUUCAUUCUGCUUAUGCAUUCAGAAUGAGGGCUUAAACCAACACUACACUGUUUUUUUUUUUUUGUAGGUGGCCAAUUUUCUGUUUUGCUUGUUUGCCCAACAAGCUUCAGCUAUUGAUACGCACAGCAUCAUCAACAGUGACAUACAGUAUGAAUCAAAUGAUCUUCCAUGAGCCAAUCACAAUAAGAGAGAGAGAGGAACAUUUUAAAAUCUUCUUACACAUUGGACCAUUGGUCCAGUUUGUUCUGUUUCCAAAGGUGUCUCCAAGACACAUGUUCACAUGUGUGACCAGGGUGUCAUUUUCCUUUCAUUUAGCUAUUUCCUCUUUGGGAUGUUGUAACUGAAGGUCUCAUGACUGCCUUGCCUCUUCUCAUGGUGAUGUGUUCAUCACACAGGCUGCAGGUAGACAAUGUGAGGCAGACACCAACUCCAGUGCUCUACAGAGCGUUAAGGACGUCUAUAAUCAUUCUGCAUGCGGACUGUUGGUGAAGGUGAAACUAACACUAAUGCCUGACCCUUCUGAGAGAGAGGUUUUAUAGAUUAACAAAAGUAAAGCAACUACUGGUAAAGCAACAAAAGAGUAUCCCAUACAUCCCACAAUGAUAGUCAAUAUCAUCUUUCAUGAAAGGCAUGUAAUAAACCCGCUAAGUACCCACUAUGGAAUUGACUUUGACCCUUUAAAAGUCUCAGUUCAGACGGUUUUGUUAGUAAAGUUUAAUGGUAUGAAUAAAGAAAUGAAAAUAUAUUUCCAGCACACUCAUAUGUUAUUAUGCAUGCAGUGAGCCUCAGCUCAAUGCCUCUGUGAACUGUUCCCCCGCAGGUCAGGUAGCUUUUUGCAUCUCUUUUGAUUUAAGUAAAUUAUUUAUUUACUGGAUUAGUAAAUGCACAAGGCAAAGAGUCAUCAAAUUGCAUUUUUUUUUUCUGAGGAAGGAUCAUUGGAUUGAAUUGUCCACCCCCACCAUGACUCACCGUAACACUCAUCAAUUCAAAAUGACACCCGCAGCUUGUGAAGGCACCGUGUUCGGCUGUGUAGGUGUACAUUAUUGGUUAAAAGUAAGUUCACAGUUCAAACAUAUACUACUGGAAUGGAAAAAUAAAUGUAUGCGAAAAAGAAGGAAGCUUCUUUUUACAUGCACACACUCACAAGCCAAUACCUUGGCAACAGCAGUGGUCAAGUCACUGGCAGGGGUGCCAGACGGCUGCAGGGACCGACAAAUCAGUCACACACACACACACACACACACACACACACACACUUUUGGCACUUAAUCCCAACUGGGGUCAGAAAGCGCUCACCAGGAAAAUGUUUAUGUGUGUGUUUGUGUGUGCGAUAUAUACAGUAUUUAUAGAUUGAAAGAGGAAGUCGGGGGGUGCCAACGGUUGCCUAAGGGGAGAGAGGGAGGGAGGGUUGUAGAAAUAUAGAGAAUAAUACAUAUAGAUGGUUAGAAAAACAAAGAAGAAAAGAUGGAUGGAUGAAUUCAGUAGACAGACAGACAGACAGACAGACAGAUAGAUAGAUAGAUAGAUAGAUAGAUAGAUAGAUAGAUAGAUAGAUAGAUAGAUAGAUAGAUAGAUAGAUAGAUAGAUAGAUAGAUAGAUAGAUAGAUAGAUCACGCGAUAUUCAUGUCUCUCUCAUGGUCAGAUUACAUGGAAAUGCUAAAUAAGCCAAAACUCUUUCAUGUCUUUGUGAUCAGCGUCUGUGAGCUGGUGAUCGUGACUUGGUCUGGUCUCUGCACUGUUACUGUGGAAGGUAUCUGAGCC